GAGACCCACGCCAACAGUUGCCAGCACGUUCUCCGGAAUGGUGGGGACACUGUUGGGACCGCCUCUGCUAAAGAGGAGGAAGGAAUGGGCAACGGUAGGUCAGCAUGCCCCGAAUUACCCGGGCUACACGCGGGCUACAAUGGACAGGACAAUGGGAAUCGACACCGAGAGGUGAAGGCAAUCCCCUAAACCUGCCCUUAGUUCGGAUUGUGGGCUGCAACUCGCCCACAUGAAGCUGGAAUCCGUAGUAAUCGUGUCUCAAAAUGGCACGGUGAAUAU
rnacentral:rRNA from 1 species